GACAGAGGCCACGAGCGUUAGGCGGAAUCACUGGGCUUAAAGCGUGUGUAGGCGGACCCGUAAGUGUCUUGUGAAAUCCCACGGCUCAACCGUGGAACUGCUGGGCAUACUGCGGGUCUUGAGCCGGCCAGGGGUCACCGGAACAAGCGGUGGAGCGGUGAAAUGCGUAGAUAUCGCUUGGAACGCCAACGGUGAAAACAGGUGACUGGGGCCGCGCUGACGCUGAGACACGAAAGCCAGGGGAGCGAACGGG
rnacentral:rRNA from 1 species